rnacentral:rRNA from 1 species
UACGUAGGUGGCGAGCGUUAUCCGGAUUUAUUGGGCGUAAUGAGGGCGUAGGUGGCUUUUCAAGUCGGAUGUUAAAUUUCCCGGCUUAACUGGGAAAGAUCAUUCGUUACUGUUAAGCUGGAGUGCAACAGGGGGAGGUAGAAUUCCCGGUGUAGUGGUGAAAUGCGUAGAUAUCGGGAGGAAUACCAGUGGCGAAAGCGGCCUCCUGGGUUGUUACUGACACUUAAGUCCGAAAGCGUGGGGAG